AAUUGAAAAAAAAACAAGUCUUCUUAGCCGUACACACCUUCUCCUUAUGUAAUCCCUCGAGUCCUUUGAUCGUGGGUUAAUGGCUAUCUAACAUAGAAGCUAACAUCCCCAUAAUCAUUGGAAGAGGUCUUCACGGUGAGUUCUUCGUUUUCCUUUUGUAAAUCAAGCUGAAAUUUUGGACGGUAUCAAGAAAUUCUGAUUGAUCCUAUUUACACUGGCCAUCUGCUAAUAACAAAUCCUCAUAAGAUGAAGAAUCAAGGCUGGCGUUGGUGUUAGAAGUUGUUGUGUCAUUGCCGAAGCCUCAAAACCCUGAAGAAGCAGCAACUAAUUCUUCCAUGAAACAUGUAUCGUUAGGAGAAGCAGAGAGGACAUAGAAGACACUAUUGACAAUAAUAUGCAGACCACGAAAUCUAGUGGUCUCUCUCACUUUGUUUCUCUGAUUAAUUAUGCUCGUUGUUGCUCCGAAAAAAAAAUGAAGAGAGAGAUUCAUAUUCUUCUUAAAAGGAGGCUUGGUUCAUUAAAACGAGAAAUCAACACAAUCACCGCCAUGUAUAAGAAAGAUGUUGAAGAGAGCUUUGCAAACAACCAGAUUGAUACCGGAGAGAGCUUUUGCUGAUUUUGUUCUCUGCAACUCAGUCCUCCAUUUGGUGAUCAUCAACUUCCUAAGAUAGGUGUUUCACUCUCCUAUCUACAACUUGUUUUUGUAUCUUCAUGUACUGGAGCUUUUAGGUGUCACUUGGAAUCAAAACUCUAGUUUGAUAUUUUUUUUGUCUUGUCGUCAAAGAAUCAAAAAUGCAAUAUAUUUGUGUUUUUUUUAUUCUUAAGACAUUCAUAUGUAAAAGAUGACCAAUGGAGGGAAAAAAAUAACUAGAAGUUAGUGGGAGAUUUAA